rnacentral:lncRNA from 1 species
UAACUUCACCGGCCUAACCAAAGGGCAAGCAAACGAGCUCGCACCUGAGAUCGCAACCGGCGCUCACGCGAUGCAGCUCUCACGACGGGUACUGGAGAAAGAUCAGGCAAAAUUUCAUGAGAUAUGAAGGUCAUUCUCGGAAAAGGUUGCACCAGGAUUAUACAGUUAGCCGUUAGUGAGUGAACUUUCUCAUGAUUUAUAAUGCUUAUGUUAAGUGGUGCAACGUCCGAACCUGAAUAAACGAAAUACCCGUCAGUUUAGCUAAAGAUGCACAUAUACAGGAAGAUCAUCACCUUUUCCCAGAUUGUGCCGUAAUUUGUAUCAUUCAAUAUGCAUGUGAGAUAUUUCAAUUGUUGAGGCCAAUGCAAAAUGACUUCUCUCAUGCAUUGUGCAUCUAUGAUCAAUCUGUGCAUAGUUAUCUCGUGUCCCCACAUUCGUGUUGAAACAUCAAUUGGAUGAAAGCAAAGAAGAAGCACAAGAGGGUGAUACGCGUGUGGCACAUUAAAGUUAUGAUGAGUAAUUGCUCCUAACUUCUAUCAAUAGCGAAUAUGGAAAAGGUUUUUUGACUGUACUUGCAGUUUAGAGUUUACCAUGCUCUACGCACCUCAUUUUGUUCAUACUCAUGCUUAUGUGGGUAUUACCAUUCAUUGAUGCAUAGACGAAACCUUCUAUAUAAACCCAUGAGUGAUUCAUUUGCUACUUGCUUGCAUGUUGAGAUAGGUAGCUGGUACCAAUUAAUUUUCUGCUUAGUUGUUAUAUUCCAUAUUUUUAUUUGUUUGUACCUACAUUCCCUAAGUUGAUGUAAGAAGUUGGAGGAAACCAAAAUGUAAGCCAGCGGGAUUCACCAACUAGCACAUAACCAACUCAGUGACAUUCUCCACUGGGCGUCUCUGGCCUAGGGAGAUCCUCAAAACAAAUAGAGGGAGAUCCUGAACCCAACCAACAACAUUACUCCGGGUCUCUAUGCUCUCUUGAAGAAGGAUCCUAAGAUAGUAGCACUAGGAGAGGUAUAGUGAUGGAAGGCUGACCGGUAGCAUUAACUACUGGUUAAUCAAGAACUCCUGGGGCAGCUGGUGGAGGGACGGGGGUUACAUUCGCCUCAAGCGUGGAUAUGCAAAAGAUGGAGGGUUAUGCGGCAUUCUAAUGGAUCCGCCGUACCCGGUGUAUCAUGUAAUGCUUGAGUAUUAGUAGUCCCUAGUGGAUCCUAUCAACUAUAUAUGGGGGUUAAAUCUCCUAGCUAAUUUGUUGUCAUGGGAGAUAUAAUUUCAUUUUCUUUCAUAUUAUAUACUAUUUAUUAUUAUUCCGCCGCAUAUAUAGUAGAGCAUGCAUUUGUAAAGCAUACGUGUGCGCAAACCAGAAGAAUCGGCAAUUUAACAUGGAAACAAAACUUAAAACAUUGAGAAUGACAGAACUUCAUAGAUGCCACACAUGAUAUAUAUGAUGUGCACCACUAGGUCAGCUUGCCACUAAGUGUCCUAUAUUAAGUUUAGAAACCACAGUAGUUAAGCUAGAUCAAGUAUUUUGGUUCUUAGCGCAUUCAAACAGUAGAACAAAUUAUCCAGACACAAGUGUCCAAUGUACCAUCUAUCAACCAAGUCAUGCCACUCAAUAUCAAAACAAUAUUAUAGUAGAUUUAAUUGUCACGGGAAGUUCAUCCUAAUAGAACAUAUAUGAGUUGCAGGAGAUAGCUAGGUGACCAACACCAUCAGACGUCAAUUGGGAUCAUCGGCUAAGAGGUGUGGCACAAAAACAAAUAAAACAAUUGUGGGAACAGAAGAACUUUCCUGGAGAUUGAGCCCGAGACAGGAAUCAUAGAGGAAUUAAACUACAGAGUCGAAGCCAGAGUUUCAGCCACGUUACUGCCAUCUUACCAGUGCCAAGUUCGACACUGGUUAGAGUGAGCACCCAAUGCGCAAGAUAGAGGAUGAAACUGUGUAUAUUCAUUCAUCCGCACUGAGUGCAUUAUAUACUUACAUGGGAUAAGGUUGGUUACAACAGAAACAAGAGAGAGGGAGAGGAUCACGACGUGGAAGCCAUCGUGGGCGCGCAUGCAGUCGUACGUGCUAUCUCUCCCUAGCGAGUCGGAGGGGGCUGCCUUGGCCCUGACGCUGGGUCAGUGUGCUGUGGUAAAACGGUCUUCCAACCACCCCCCCCCCCCGCCCCUGCAGUCAAAACGCGGUGCUCACCGACGUUGAGACUGGUCCGGAAGUCGUUGAACACAGAAGUAGGCAAUCCUUUGGUGAAGAUGUCCGCGAAUCGGGAUGUCGUCGGGACGUGGAGGACGCGCACCUCGCCCAAGGAGACGCGCUCACGGACGAAGUGAAGGUCAAUCUCGAUGUGCUUGGUGCGUUGGUGCUGGACGGGGUUGUUGGACAUGUACAUGGCGCUGACGUUGUCGCAGUAGACGACGGUGGCGCACGGUGGUGGGCAACGAAGUUCGCCGAGGAGUUGGCGGAGCCAACUCGACUCAGCGACGGCAUUGGACCGAGACACGGUGUUCUGGCGCUUCGAAGACCAGCUGACGAGGUUGGCGCCAAGAAAAACGGCGAAGCCCGAGGUGGACUUGCGCGUGUCGGGGCAGCCGGCCCAGUCGGCAUCCGAGUACGUCGUGAGGUCGCCGGAGGUGGAGCGAUGAAAGUGGAGGCCCAGGUGAGCGGUGCCACGAAUGUAGCGGAGGACGCGCUUCACCAGCUGGUAGUGACUGUCGCGAGGGUCAUGCAUGAAGAGGCAGCAUUGUUGUACGGCAUAGGAGAUGUCGGGUCUGGUGAGGGUGAGGUACUGGAGGGCCCCGGCCAAGCUCCGGUAGAGUGAUGGGUCGUGAAAGGCAGGACCAUCGGUGGCGGAGAGCUUGGCGGUGGUGUCGAUGGGUGUAGACACAGGUUUGCAGUUAAGCAUGCCUGCACGGUCAAGGAUCUCGAGUGCAUACUGCUCUUGAGAGAGGUGGAGAGGAGAUGGCGACGUGGGAGGUGGCGCCGGUGUCCAUGAACCAGUCGGAGCUGGUCGACGGGGGCUGCAUCUGGAGGUUAGCGAAGUGCGUCAUCAGCGCCUGAUGUUCAUCCCAUGUCGGUGCAGUGGGUGGCUGACCCGCCGCCACGGGGUAGGCCUGGUGUGGAGCGGGAGGGCGAGGCCCUAGUACACCAGCCGAGUUGGCUGGCACCCACGGGGAGCGCCACUGCUGUGGCGUGGGAGCAGGGGAACCCCACGGGGCGAAGUAGCCCAGCCACGGCUGCUGGGCGCCGGUGCCACGCCCACCGGCGGAGCCAGAGGCGGCGCCGGGAGAGUCCUGGCCACGACCACGGCCACAGCCGCGCCCGCCACGCUGGCAAUCCCCAUGAAGGGGCGCCUUGCCCUUGUCCUGCGGGGAUGACGGCGGAGCAUCGGUGGAGGACGAGCCGCCCGAGGAGGAACCGCCCACGGGGCCAAUCGUGAGGGGGCAGGCGCCAGCGGCGCGUUAGCGCUCGAGGACGCCGAUCUCUUCCAGCAGGAGACGGGAGCGAGCCUGCACGAAGGACGGAAACGGCUGCUGCAUGGGAAGAAGAGUGGCCAUGACAUGAAACCGCCGGCUGAGACCGCGGACGAGCUGGAGGGUGAGGGAGCGGUGGGAGACGGGCUCGUCCACGUCAGCCAUGGCGUUGGCCAGUUGCUGCAGACGACGGCAGUACUGGGCCACCAACAUGUCCCCCUGCACGGUUGCGCGGAACUCGGCGCCGAUGUGUAUGGCACGACCGGCGGCGUUGUCGCAAAAGAAGACCUCCAGCUGGCUCCAGAGGUGGUACGUCGUGCUCUCCGGCAAUUGGAUGAUGUCGUAGAGCUCGUCGGAGAUGGUGCCGUAGAUCCAGAGAGCGAUCGUGAUGUCGUCGUUGCGCCAGCCUGGGUCUUCGUGUAGGGGAUCGGCCUCCUCGAGGACGUGCUCCUCGACGUGGAACUUGCAGAGGACGAACCAGAAGAGGUGGCGCCACUUGGAGUAAUUGUUGUCGUCCAGGCUGAGCUUGAACGGGAUGUAGGAGGAGAUAUUGGUGUGGUGCAUGGCGGGAUCAGGGGCGGGCUGGGCUUGUGGGGGUGGAGGGGCGAGGACGAGAGCGUCGCCGGGGAUGCAGGCAAUGCGGAGCGGUGGUACGGCGGGAGCAGCACCGCGAUGGAGAACGCGGGCGUUGGGAGAGGCGGGCAGCGGCACGAAGGGGUCGGCGGCCGGUGCGGGCUGGGGACCGGGGCGACGGGCGGCAGGAUGGAGGGAGCGUCAGCGUCACCGGAGGAGCGAGUGCGGCGGAGCGGACGUCAGAAGCUCAUGGCGGAAGCGGAGAAGGGAGGAACGAGCGACGUCAGCCUCUGAUACCAAGAUAGAGGAUGAAACUGUGUAUAUUCAUUCAUCCGCACUAAGUGCAUUAUAUACGUACAUGGGAUAAGGUUGGUUACAACAGAAACGAGAGAGAGGGAGAGGAUCACGACGUGGAAGCCGUCACGGGCGCGCAUGCAGUUGUACGUGCUAUGUCUCCCGAGCGAGUCGGAGGGGGCUGCCUUGGCCCUGACGCUGGGUCAGUGUGCUAUGGUAAAACGGUCUUCCAACAGCGCAGGGGCGAUACGGGGGCAGUCAGCCCUACAGCCGCACGAGCGUUGCGGGUUGCGAGCAUAGUUGUUGAUACUAUUCUAACUUAUCUAUAUUUUUUUAUUAUUCCAUGCUAUUAUAUUAUAAUUUUAGGAUACUUUUUGAGUAUUAAUUUAUCAAUUUAUAUUAUUUUUAAGCAUUAAACUAUUGACCCAGUGUUGAGUGUCAGUUGCUAUUUUCUACGUGUUUUUGCCUUUUCAUGUUUAUAGUACCAAAUGAAGACAAAUUGCCCUGAAACUUUUUUAUGACUUUUUCUGGACCAAAAGAACACCUGAAAGCUUCAUGACGAGACCGGAGGCCACACGAGGGAGGCACAAGCCAAUAGGGGCACCGAAGAGGGUCGGCGCGCCCUGAUGGCUUGUCCCUCCCGGUUGUCCAUCCUACCCCUGUUCUCUGGCCUAUAAAUUCACAUAUAUUUCAAAAACCCUGGAGGACAUACCAAAACACUUUUUCUGCCGCCGCAAGUCUCUGUUCCGCUGCGAAUCCAUCUGGAGCUCUGUUUCAAAGUCCGUCGGAGCGGGGAUCGAUCACAUAGGGCCUCUUCAUCAACCUUGUUGCCCUAAUGGGGAUAUGUGAGUAGUUCACCACAGACCUACGAGUCCGUAGUUACUACCUAGAUGGCUAUCUCUCUCUCUCUUGAUCUUCAAUAAAAUUAUCAUCACAUCUUUGCUUUGAUCUAUCCGAUGUAAUUCUUCUGUGCGGUGCGUUCAUUGGGAUUCUAUGAAUUGGAGUCUUCUAUGAAUUUUAUUUAUGAUUCUUAUUUGCAUGAUCAUUAUAGCUUGGUAAAUAUCUUCCAUCUAUUGAUUUUCUUUGUCAAGUCAAUUGAUCUUUCUUCAGCGAGAGGGGUGCGUUGUAUUGGGUUCAAUCUGGAGGUGCUCUAUAUCCCAGUGACAGAAAGGUACAAAACACGUCUUUGUAUUUCUGCCACUACAUCAUGUCAUUGUUAUCAAAGCAUUACUCUGUUUUACUCAACACUCUAGAUGCAUGGUGGAUAGCGGUUGAUUGAUUGAGUAAUAGUAAUAGAUGACGGCAGGAGUCUGCCUAUUUGCUUAUGGACGUGAUGCCUAUAUAUAAAUGAUCAUUGCCAUGAAUUUCACAUAACUAUGCGCUUUUCUACCAAUUGCCCAACAACAAUUUAUUUAUCACCGUAUGCCUAUUACAUGAGAGAUGCCACUAGGAAAAAGUAUGGCCCCCUGGUCUAUCCAGCUAUAAGUUUACAAUGCUUUCAAUACCUUGCUGCCAUUUAUUAUCUUUUAUUUUAUUUUGCAAUUUACAAUUCACAACUAUUAUCUACACAUUUCACUUUCUUGCAAAUAACCAGUCCAAGGGGAUAGAGAACCCUCUUGCCCGUGUUGGGUGCAAGUGCUUUGCUCAUUUGUGUGUAGUUGCUGAAGACAGAAGCUGACUGAUAUUCCUAUUGGUUCGAUAAACCUUGGUGCCUAACUGAGGGACAUACUUACCCAUAUUGUGUUGUAAUUAUCUGUUCCUCUUCACGGAAAACCCAACGCAGAUCAUAAGUAUCAGUUGCAAGCCGAAUUCGACCAACGUUUGAGAAGACCGAAGGCGGACGCGUGGGGAAGAUAGAUGGCGGAAGAAAUGGUGGACCACCAGGGACUGCGGGAGUGUCGAGGGGAAUUGGUGGAAUAAGAGGAGCACCUGCGAUCGGGGUGGCUCCGGAGUGGCAUGGUGCUGGCAGGGAAACUACGACACACACUGGGUCAGAGAUCCACAGUGAGUGGCGGCGGUCGGUGUUAGACACGACAUCGACGGCGGCGAUAUAGGCAGUGGAGUUGUGCGAGAGAAAGGGAAUCAAGAAUAUUGGUUCGUGCACGUGAGUGUGAGAGUGGUGGGGGUGUGGGACCCACCUAACCGACCUGGGGUGGUGAAAUUUUGGGUAAAUAACUAAUUUUCCCUACGAGAAUAGAGUAGUUGGGGGUUAAAAGAUCUGUCUUGAUAAGUUUGAGUCGACUGAGACUUCACGCAGUCUUAGUCGAUGCUAUAUCCGUGAGAACUUAUGAGGUUCGUGCAAAAUUUUCUUUUCAGUUUUUUAUUUUUUUCCCUUACAUGUUAUGUGACUUGAAUCAGGCUUGGGUUAAAUAUCAGUCGACUAAGACCUAGCCAUACCCUAAAAAGAUCAAAUAGAUUCCCCUACCGUCGGUUAUCGUCCCCUACCUCCCGCAUUGCCGGGUUGGACUUGGUCACGCUCUCUCCACACCACACCCCGUUCCACCCCAUCUCCGAGCUGUCGGCCUCACCCUCGCCGUGCGGCCAUGUCUGCUUAGCCAACCGAUCUCUGGAUAUGUGUGACCUUGGCCCCAAGAUCUCCCCAUCCCUCUCCUCCUCUCUUUCGCUUGUUGUAGCCCGCCGCUAUCUCGGAUCCUCUGCAUGUGGGCGUGUCGUCGCGCCGGUGGUCCGACGUCGUGAAGCCUUCGUCUAGUCGUAUGUCCUAGUAGGCCCCGAUCUCGUCCUCAAGAUAGCAUCUUCUUCGUCGACUAUGGUCUACGUGAGGUGGAUGGUCGCCGCAUGAUCGGACGCUCCUUCAUCCACAUGCGCUACUUUGUGCUGAAGACUAGAGGAAGUGCUGGCGCCGGGCACACAGGGACCAAGCCCGGGGUGUGGAAUUUAUAAUAGGCUAUUAAAUAUGUUUUUUCUGCAGGCCCAGGGUGCAGACCAGCAAAAUGAAGGAGACCCAGACCGUAAUGGGCUAUCUCACCUCAUGAAAUGGACGCAGGCACGAGGAGACCUCUCCAACUCCGGUGCGACUAUUUCUUGCCUUACGCGUGCCAACAACGACCUCUCACGUCGUGUAAACGGUGUUGGGUCGGCCCAUUGUAUUGCACGGAGAUUGAAAAAUUGAGAAGAAAUGGAGCGUCCCCAGGAGUCGAACAACCCUGGUCACGCGGGACAACAAGAGCAUUGCUAACCAUCAAGUUAUUGGUUAGUAGCAGGAUCACAGCAACUAGAGGUGGGAUAUUUCAAUUGUUGAGGCCAAUGCAAAAUGAUUUUUCUCAUGCAUUGUGCAUCAGUGAUCUAUCUGUGCAUACUUAUCUUGUGUCCCCACAUUCAUGUUGAAACAUGAAUUGGAUAAAAGCAAAGAAGAAGCACAAGAGGGUGAUACGCAUGUGGCACACUAAAGUUAUGAUGACUAAUUGCUCAUAACAUUUAUCAGUGGCGUAUGUGGAAAACGUUUUAUUAUGUACUUGCAUUUUAGAGUUUAUCAUGCUCUACGCACCUCGUUUUUUUCAUGCUCAUGCUUAUGUGUGUAUUACCAUUCAUUGAUGCACAUAUGAAACCUUCUAUAUAAACACACGAGCGAUUUCAUUUGCUACUUGGUUACAUGUUAAGAUAGGCAGCUAGUACCAACUAUUUUUUUGCUUAGUUCCGGGUGCUCGUUUCCUCCUUCUCAUUUUUUUUAUUCUGCUUAGUUAUUGUAUUCUAUGUUUUUCUUUGUUUGUACUAGUACAUUCCCAAUGACAUGUUGGAGGAAACCAAUGUAUUGCUGGUUGGAUACGGGACAGAGGAGAGAUACAGUGAUGGAAGACUGACCGAUAGCAUUAACUAAUGGCUAAUCAAGAAUUCCCACGGCAGCUUGUGGUGGGACGCAGUGGCGUAGCCAGGGGGUGGACUUGUGGUGGGACGCAGCGGCGUAGCCAGGGGGUGUACAGGGUGGUCCAUGGAUCAUCCUAAAAUUCCACCAUAGUCAAUAUAUAGGGUAAAAAAAGAUAUAUAUUUUUUACAAUACAUAAAAUUACAUGGAAUUUUUAUUUUUGAACCAUCCUGGCUCUCCGAGCUAGCUACGAUACAUUGGCCUCAAGCAGGGAUAUGAAAAAGAUGGAUGCAUGAUUGUGUGGCAUUCUAAUGGAUCCGCUGUACCCGGCGGAUCCUGUAAUGCUUGAGUAUUAAUAGUUCCUAGUGGAUCCUAUCAACUAUAUACAGGGUAAAUCUCCUAGCUAAUUUGUUGUCAUGUGAGAUAUAAUUUCAUUUUCUUUCAUAUUAUAUAUUAUUUGUUAUUAUUCUGCCCCGUAUAUAGUAGAGCAUGCAUUCGUAAAGCAUACGUUUGCGCAAACUAGAAGAACUAUCAAUUUAACAUGGAACGAAACUGAAAACAUUGAGAAUGAAAAAGCUUCAUAGAUGCCACACAAGAUAUAUAUGAUGUACACCAAUAAGUCAGCUUGCCACCAAGUGUGCUAUAUUACGUUUAGAAAUCCACAGUAGUUAAGCAAGACUAGUCGUCAACCCGUGCUUUCGCACGAGAUAGUGUAUUUAGUACAUUAACUUUCUAAGAAAAAAGUAAACAAACAUUAGAGUUAACCCAUUUUAAUUUUGCAUUGUUUGCUUGUACUUAAUAAUUCUAUUGUGGCGGCGUACAUAAAUUCUCAAAAAAGGCACGUAUUAGUUUUCUCCAUCUCAUUUUGCUUGUACACAUAUCAAUUGAUUUAGAGGUAUUGUUAAAAUAAGCCAUCCAAUUUAGGAACAUUUUGUUAAUUUAUGCCACUUCUUAUAUUUAAUAAAACAAUAAUGAAUAAGUUCAUAUAAAAUACCAAUUUAACUAUACAUUGCAAAAAACAUAUUGUACAUCAUCUGGAAAUCAGUUGAUUUAGGGGUAUCCAAAUGAAUAUAUACCCAUUCAGCAUGUAGACAACAUCAAUCACCCUGCAAGCGUAAGCGUGAACAGGUGCACAGGCUCAAAAUUCUUAAAUACAGAUGCAACAGAAAACUUUAUUACAGUGUGUAGAAAAAAUAUAACUUUGAAUAGAUACAACAUAGGAAUGCUUUUUUUUAACUCAAUGUUACUACAGGUUGAAAAUACUUACUCAUAUUAGGCUCUCUUCAUGGUUGUAUAAAUGAAAAGGGAAUCUGACAAACAUAACCAAUGCGUAAGUAGAGGCCAUGGUGAAAGUGUGUCAUACAAUAAUACACACUCAAUAAUUAGUCAUAUUUAUCACCUACUUAUUUUAAAAUUUCUACCACGCCGUAGGUUAAAACAGAAGGAAGAGAACAUGGUAAGAAACCAUAACAUAAUACCACAAAUCCAUUGAAAAGUAAGACCAUCAAGCAUCCUUGAGACCUCAAUGCCCUUCCCUACACAACCUUCAAUAGAGCAUGCAAUUCGUAAAGGUUUAUCCUAGUUGUCAAUAUUUUCUGAAGCACAACCGAAAAUUCCAAAACCGCUCAAGGAAGAGAGCGGUUUUGGCAAAGAGCUAGAACAAUACGUGCCUUCACACGUCUUGUUGUUGAUCUAAACUUAGUCCAAAUACCAUAAAAAAAAGUAAUACAACAGAUAGACACAGUACUGAACCUUCUUGGAUAAACGACUUCAACAUUUUAACCAUAUGUCUCCUUACCGUUCCAUGUAUCAUAAUGCCCCCAAACAAUUACAAUCCAGUUCAAAUAUGCUUAAGUUUUUCUAAUAACUACUAUUAACUUAUAUUAACAUGAUUAUGUUAAAAAAUCAUAUAUUUGUACUGACAAAACACCACUUCAUCAAGUAGUAUCAUGUGAAGGCUAAUAAGUUCGUCGCAAUUAAGCUUAAUGGUGUAGCCUAAUGACACUGAGCUAGAAUUUCCAUGAAUCUUUCUCAUGGCUAAUCGCACCGACCAUACCACAAACAAAUUUAAUAAUAUUUAAUAAGCGCUAAUUAUAUCAUGAAUCCGAUUUAUAACAGCUUAGACUAAAUGUGUACUUGUAUAGCUGGGGAAAAACAGAUUGGAACAAAUAGAUGAAUACGAUAGUAGUUUGUAAAAAGCUAUUGACAUGUAAAAAGCACAAACUUUUGAUGAUUAGUACUUAUUUACUCUCUGGUGAAGCUCACCUGAUGGGCAUAUUUGUGGCAUAAACCAAUCUCCAAGAGGUAUCCCAAUAUUAUACGUGAGAAUAUUGGGGACUGAUAUCCUCGAGAGCAUGACACCAUAAAAGAACAUGAUAUAUAAAAUCAGUGGUAGAAAAAAAACCCUGAAAGAACACCAGAUCCAUGCCUAAACUUACUUGCACCCAGUUAAGAGAAACAUGGAUUUGAUUUUCAUGUGAUGAAAGAGGAGGCAGUAGAGGUACGUGGAUUUAUUUUCCAUAUGGAGUGUGACAGAAAGAGAUCGAGAGGCAGUGGGUGCAUCCAUGUCGCACUUGAUGGGCAUAUUUGUGCUAUGACCCGAUCUCCAAGAUCAAUGUACGGGGGAGAAAGAGACAUGGUUUUCUUUCAUACGGGGAGAGAUAAUAGAAUCUAUACAUGUUGCCAGAUUGGCUUUUGUUUUUUUAACAUGGAGAGAAGAGAUGGUGGAGUAGCAGAUAAUCGUAUCUAUUUUGACUUCAUUUAUCUACUUAGGGUCCAGGACUACACGAAAAGGAUUGUUGGCCUUAUUACGAAUAAGGUUUUUUUUAAUCGUUGGCCUUACGUUUUUUUUCGAUUUGAGCAAAAUUUCAGCUAAAAAUUAUAUGGUUUAAUCUACACCGUAAUAACUUGGACCCACUCCAGAUUAACGGUUGUUAUUGUUUAAUUAACGUUGUAAUUUACUAGGAGUCUCUAAUUAGUAUAAGUAUAGAUCAGGUAUUCUGGUUCUUUGCACAUUCAAACAGUAGAACUAAUUACCCAGACAGAAGCCUUCAUUGUACAAGUUGUCAACCAAAUCAUGCCACUCGAUAUAAAAAAAAUAUAGUAGUUUAAUUGUCAUCGCAAGUUCAUCGUAUCAGAACAUGCACUAGUACAAAAACAGGCUUUCGUCCAGAGCAGGACGCCUUCGCCUUGGCGGCCGAGCCAAGGCAGUGGGCCACAGGUGCUAGGAGGUCCCAAUAUCAUGGAGGUGGCCUAGCCUGAACCAUCGAGGUCUAUGUGGUAAGUUCGGAUCCCUGGUUGGAAGUCGAAUACCAUCGCCUUGGUAGUCAAGUCAAGGCGAAUCGCAGAAUCACCAAUUAUGUGGGAUACCGAAGAUUACGGUAAGAUCGGAUCUGGAUGUUCGUUUAGAGUUGUUGUAUAAGCGCCGCCGCAGGUAAACCCAUUUUCUACUGUGUAACCCUUGCCGCCUCUCAGUAUAUAAAGAGGAAACGGAUGUCGAACGGAAAAACACAUCUUCCACCUCAUUCUACCUCCAUCCUUUAGAUGUGAGAUCGAGAUCUACCUCGAAAACACCUGAGCACACUACAGAUAAUCCCAUACACCCACAACAGGAGUACGGUUAUAAUGGACAUUGUACGUCCAGGGCCCAAACCUAUAUAAAUAAUCUUUGUCUCUAGUGUGCUACCGCCCCGAUCUCCAAGCGUUACCCCUCCGAAUAAAAUAUACAGUCAUCAAAUACCUUGACAGUUCGCGCGUCAGGUAGGGGUUCGCGUUCCGGAUAUAGGGUUGGGAUGGCCAACGUCAUCAUGGUAGACGAUAACACUCUGGAAGCGAAGAUAUUCAUUGAAGACCCGCGGGGUGAUUUCACUGUGGCUCCAUCAUCCCUUGAAUCUCCUCGACGGUCAGAAGAUGCUCCAAAAUCAGAUUCGUCGGUACGAGGCUCGUGGAACGAUUUGGAUCUGGGGAAAGUCAGGGUGGCUUCUCGUUGACACUCCUUCCCCCCCCCCCCCCACCACACACUCCAUAGAGCAUGGACCAGAUGAUGAACGAAGCACCGUUGGGAGCUUCCUCUUCAAUAACGAUACACCAAUUAAAGUGACCUGGACCUUGAAUGGCAGGGAACCAAUCCGCUGCCAGUCACCUUCCCUGGAUGCGGAUGCGGUGGAUCGACCCACUGCUGACCUUGCCAACGUAGUCGGCGAAACUAACUUCACCGGCCGAACCAAAGGGCAAGCAAAUGAGCUCGCAGCUCAGAUCGCAACCGGCCCUCAGGCGGUGCAGCUCUCACGACGGGUACUAGAGAAGGAUUAGGCAAAAUUUCAUGAGAUAUGAAGGUCUUUCUCGAAAAAGGUUGCACCAGGAUUAUACAACUAGCCGUUAGUGAGUGAACUUUCUCACGAUCUAUAAUGCUUAUGUUAAGUGGUGGAACGUCUGAACCUGAAUAAACGAAAUACGCGUCAAUGUAGCUAAAGAUGCACAUAUACGGGAAGAUCAUCACCUUUUCCCACAGUGUGUCGUAAUUUGUAUCAUUCAAUAUCCAUGUGAGAUAUUUCAAUUGUUGACGCCAAUGCAAAAUGACUUCUCUCAUGCAUUGUGCAUUUAUGAUCAAUCUGUGCAUAAUUAUCUCGUGUCCCCACAAUUGUGUUGAAACAUCAAUUGGAUGAAAGCAAAGAAUAAGCACAAGAGGGCGAUACGCAGGUGGCACAUUAAAGUUAUGAUGAGUAAUUGCUCAUAACUUCUAUCAAUAGCGUAUGUGGACACCUCAUUUUGUUCAUACUCAUGCUUAUGUGGGCAUUACCAUUCAUUGAUGCAUAGACGAAACCUUCUAUAUAAACCCAUGAGUGAUUCAUUUGCUACUUGAUUGCAUGUUAAGAUAGGUAGCUGGUACCAAUUAAUUUUCUGCUUAGUUGUUAUAUUCCAUAUUUUUAUUUGUUUGUACCUACAUUAUCUAUGUUGAUGUGAGAAGUUGGAGGAAACCAGAAUGUGAGCCAGCGGGAUUCUCCAGCUAGCACACAACCAACUCAGUGACGUUGUCCUCUGGGCCGUCUAUGGCCUAGGGAUAUCCUCAACACAAAUAGAGGAAGAACCUGAACCCAACCAACAACAUUACUCCGGGUCUCUAUGCUCUCUUGAAGAAGGAUCCUAAGAUAGUAGGCAUCAGUAGGAGAGGUGUAGUGAUGGAAGGCUGACCGGUAGCAUUAACUACCGGUUAAUCAAAAACUCCUCAGGCAGCUAGAGGAGGGACGGGGAUUACAUUCGCCUCAAGCGGGGAUAUGAAAAGAUGGAGGGUUAUGUGGCAUUCUAAUGGAUCCGUUGUACCCGGUGGAUCAUGUAAUGCUUGAGUAUUAUUAGUCUCUAUCUAGUGGAUCAUAUCAACAAUAUGUGUGGGUUAAAUAUCCUAGCUAAUUUGUUGUCAUGGGAGAUAUAAUUUCAUUUUCUUUCAUAUUACAUACUAUUUAUUAUUAUUCCGCCCCAUAUAUAGUAGAGCAUGCAUUUGUAAAGCAUACGUGUUCGCAAACCAGAAGAAUUGGCAAUUUAACAUGGAAACGAAACUGCAAACAUUGAGAAUGACAAAACUUCAUAGAUGCCACACAGGAUAUAUAUGAUGUGCACAAAUAGGUCAGCUUGCCACUAAGUGUCCUACAUUAAAUUUAGAAACCACAGUAGUUAAGCUCGAUCAAGUAUUUUGGUUGUUAGCACAUUCAAACAGUAGAACAAAUUAACCAGACACAAGUGUCCAAUGUGAGUUGCAGUAGAUAGCUAGGUGACCAACACCAUCAGACGUCAAUUGGUAUCAUUGGCUACGAGGUGUGGCACAGAAACAAAUAAAACAAUUGUGGGAACAGAAGAACUUACCUGGAGAUUGAGCCCGAGACAGGAAUCAUAGAAGAAGUAAACUAGGGAGUCGAAGCCAGGGUUUCAGCCACGUUACUGCCAUCCUACCGGCGCCAGGGUCGACAUUGGUUAGAGCAAACACCCAAUGCGCAGGGGCGAUACGUGGGCGGCCAGGCCUACCGCCGCACCAGCGUUGCAGGUUGCCAGCAUAGUAGCUGAUACUAUUCCAACGUAUCUAUAAUUUUUUACUAUUUUAUAUUUUUUGAGUAUUAAUUUGUAAAUUUAUAUUAUUUUUUAGCACUAACCUAUUGACCCAGUGCCCAGUGUCAGUUGUUAUUUUCUACGUGUUUUUGGCUUUUCAUGUUUAUAGUACAACCAAAUUGACACAAAACAUUUUUAUGACUUUUUCUAGACCAGAAGAAGACCUGGAAGCUUCAUGACGAGACCGGAGGCUACACGAUGGAGGCACAAGCCAACAGGGUGCACCGAGGAGGGUCAGCGUGUCCUGAUGGCUUGUCCCUCCCUCGUGUCCCUCCUACCCCGUUCCCUGGCCUAUAAAUUCAGAUAUAUUUCAAAAACCCUGGAGGGCAUACGGAAACACUUUUUCUGUCGUGGCAAGUGUCUGUUCGGCCGCGACCCCAUCUAGAGCUCCGUUUCGAAGUCCGCAGAGGGGGGGUCGAUCACAUAGGGCCUCUUCAUCAAACCUUGUUGCCCUAAUGGGGAUAUGUGAGUAGUUCACCAGAGACCUACGAGUCCAUAGUUAGUGUCUGGAUGACAAUCUCUCUCUCUUGAUCUUCAAUAAAAUGAUCAUCACAUCUUUGUUUUGAUCUAUACAAUGUAAUUCUUCUGUGCGGUGCGUUCAUUGGGAUUCUAUGAAUUGGAGUCUUCUAUGAAUUUUAUUUAUGAUUCUUAUUUGCAUGAUCA